CUGGAUUUGGAAUGGGGGCAGCCUGAUCCGCCUGCCGCGUGUGUGAUGAAGGCCUUCGGGUUGUAAAGCUCUUUUGGCCGGGAAGAAAUCCUGCGGUUUAAUACCGGGUGGGGCGGACGGUACCAGAAGAGCAAGCCCCGGCUUACUACGUGCCCCCCGCCGCUAUAAUA
rnacentral:rRNA from 1 species